rnacentral:rRNA from 1 species
AUUGAACGCUGGCGGCAGGCCUAACACAUGCAAGUCGAGCGGAUGAAGGGAGCUUGCUCCUGGAUUCAGCGGCGGACGGGUGAGUAAUGCCUAGGAAUCUGCCUGGUAGUGGGGGAUAACGUCCGGAAACGGGCGCUAAUACCGCAUACGUCCUGAGGGAGAAAGUGGGGGAUCUUCGGACCUCACGCUAUCAGAUGAGCCUAGGUCGGAUUAGCUAGUUGGUGGGGUAAAGGCCUACCAAGGCGACGAUCCGUAACUGGUCUGAGAGGAUGAUCAGUCACACUGGAACUGAGACACGGUACAGACUCCUACGGGAGGCAGCAGUGGGGAAUAUUGGACAAUGGGAGAAAGCCUGAUCCAGCCAUGCCGCGUGUGUGAAGAAGGUCUUCGGAUUGUAAAGCACUUUAAGUUGGGAGGAAGGGCAGUAAGUUAAUACCUUGCUGUUUUGACGUUACCAACAGAAUAAGCACCGGCUAACUUCGUG